GGGCAAAUCUGUGGAAACGCAGAGACGCAAAACUGGGAGUCUAACGUGACAAAUGGGGUGUGACGUCAGUCCUUUUGUUGCUAUGAUAGUUCGGUUGCA
rnacentral:ncRNA from 1 species